rnacentral:rRNA from 1 species
ACGUAGGAGGCAAGCGUUAUCUGGAGUUACUGGGCGUAAAGCGUGCGCAGGCGGCUCUAUAAGACAGAUGUGAAAUCCCCGGGCUUAACCUGGGAACUGCGUUUGUGACUGUAGGGCUUGAGUGCGGCAGAGGGGGGUGGAAUUCCACGUGUAGCAGUGAAAUGCGUAGAGAUGUGGAGGAACACCAGAGGCGAAGGCGACACCCUGGGCCGUACCUGACGCUAAGACGCGACAGCACGGGGAGCGAACGG